rfam:Erysipelotrichaceae bacterium 2_2_44A cont1.57, whole genome shotgun sequence.
GAUCGACUAGACGAUUAAAAACAGGUGUUAGGUCUAGUGCGGCAGGGUUCUUCCCUGCGUCACA